rnacentral:rRNA from 1 species
UUCCGGUUGAUCCUGCCGGACCUGACUGCUAUCGGAUUGAUACUAAGCCAUGCGAGUCAUUGUAGCAAUACAAGGCAGACGGCUCAGUAACGCGUAGUCAACCUACCCUAUGGACGGGAAUAACCUCGGGAAACUGAGUAUAAUGCCCGAUAGAACACUAUACCUGGAAUGGUUUGUGUUCCAAAUGAUUUAUCGCCAUAGGAUGGGACUGCGGCCUAUCAGUUUGUUGGUGAGGUAAUGGCCCACCAAGACUAUUACAGGUACGGGCUCUGAGAGGAGUGGCCCGGAGAUGGGUACUGAGACACGGACCCAGGCCCUAUGGGGCGCAGCAGGCGAGAAAACUUUGCAAUGUGCGAAAGCACGACAAGGUUAAUCCGAGUGGUUUCUGCUAAAGGAACCUUUUGACAGUCCUAGAAACACUGUUGAAUAAGGGGUGGGCAAGUUCUGGUGUCAGCCGCCGCGGUAAAACCAGCACCUCAAGUGGUCAGGAUGAUUAUUGGGCCUAAAGCAUCCGUAGCCGGCUCUGUAAGUUUUCGGUUAAAUCUGUACGCUUAACGUACAGGCUGCUGGGAAUACUGCAGAGCUAGGGAGUGGGAGAGGUAGACGGUACUCGGGAGGAAGUGGUAAAAUGCUUUGAUCUCUCGAUGACCACCUGUGGCGAAGGCGGUCUACCAGAACACGUCCGACGGUGAGGGAUGAAAGCUGGGGGAGCAGACCGGAUUAGAUACCCGGGUAGUCCCAGCUGUAAACUAUGCAAACUCAGUGAUGCACUGGCUUGUGGCCAGUGCAGUGUUGCAGGGAAGCCGUUAAGUUUGCCGCCUGGGAAGUACGUACGCAAGUAUGAAACUUAAAGGAAUUGGCGGGGGAGCACCACAAGGGGUGAAGCCUGCGGUUCAAUUGGAGUCAACGCCGGGA